rnacentral:rRNA from 1 species
AUACAGAGGCGCCAAGCGUUAGGCGGAAUCACUGGGCUUAAAGCGCGUGUAGGUGGAUGGGUAAGUACCUUGUGAAAUCCCACGGCUCAACCGUGGAACUGCUUGGUAUACUGCUUGUCUUGAGGCACUCAGGGGCAGCUGGAACAAAUGGUGGAGCGGUGAAAUGCGUAGAUAUCAUUUGGAACGCCAAAGGUGAAAACAGGCUGCUGGGAGUGAUCUGACACUGAGACGCGAAAGCCAGGGGAGCAAACGG